AUUUAUGUCUUCAGCCUGCCUAGGUUAUUUGAUGCUAUCCUACUUUAACAGUUUAUACUCUUGUUUCCUUUUUCUCAAUUUGUCUCUUCCCCUUUGUAUUCUUUUUUUUUAAUAAUUUAUUUCAAUCUCCACCUCAAGCCUAAUUUUUAAUAUUUACACUUUCAUCGUAUCUCUCUCCUCUCUCUGUUAAAAAUAAAAUAGAGAUAUGUAUAAAAUUUUUUGUUUUCACCUCCAUACACUAUACAGAAAUAUCAAUUUUCUAAUCACAUGUCUAAAUUCUAACCGCUUCAUAAUUUUCCUGCACCUCCUGCACUGAAACAGCACAUGUUCGGUCGUAUAGUACCAAGUGGCGUAUUUUUAGGUUAAAUACAAAUAACAGAUCAUUCUACUAACAAAAUGACAUCAAAUCUGUGAGGUGCAUAUUGAUUUGUGCAUUUUAUUUUACUCAUAUCUACGGGAUUAGAACAUGUACAAAACUUGAAUCUGCCGAGAUAUUCAAGGUGUUGUGCUUGCAACAAUGCCACUGAUACUGAUAACUGGCAUUCCCAGCAGCGGAAAAACAACGAGAAGCUUAGAAUUAAAGGAGUAUUUUGAAAAACGAUUCCAGGAUAGACGGAAGGUAGAAAUAAUCAGCGAAUAUGACACAAUAAUUAAGACAGGCUAUGAUAAAAAUACAUUUUAUGCCGACUCUAAGAAAGAGAAGAUUGUUAGAAGCAGUUUAAAAUCGGACCUUCAACGCCAAAUAGAUACACAUGAUCUAUCGAUAUUUGACGGCAGCAAUUACAUCAAAGGAUAUCGAUACGAGAUCUACUGCAUGACUAAAUUAUAUAAGACUCCACAGUGCACAUUACAUUGCGAUAUACCAGUGGAACAUGCUUGGCUGUUGAACGAAAAACGUGUCGAGUCUGAACGAUAUAACAGGGAGAUAUUCGACGCGCUUGUAGCGAGAUAUGAAACACCAAACGGUGGAAAUCGAUGGGACGCUCCACUCUUUGCAGUUACACCAGAGGAUGAAUUGAUGUAUGAUGAAAUUUAUAGGUCGCUCUAUGAAAUCGCUUCACCAAAACCAAAUCAAAGCACACAAUGCGCACCGCUAGCAGCCACAAAUUAUCUGUACGAAUUGGAUAGAAUAACGCAAGAUGUGAUAAAUGCAAUAUUGUCGGCAAAAAAAAUGGGAAUAAACAAUGAUAUAAAGAUACCGGGCUGCAAUGCGACCGUUGAAAAAUCUGGAACCGCACCACAACUUAUGAGAUUACGGAGGCAGUUUUUGACUUACAGUAAAAUGCAACAGAGCGGAAUCGAUCAGAUCGCCGCAUUAUUCGUACAAUAUCUCAACAAAAAUUUGUAACAAAACGGAAAAAUUAGAUGUAUAUAUAUAUAUAUAUAUAUUUCUUUAAUUUUCUGCUAUUUCAGAAUUUUAUGAAUAUAUAGGAUGAUACAAUAUGUCGCUCAUACAACGUACAACUGUACAAUGAGAAUCAUCGGUAAAGGAAAGACCAGAUAUUGUCCCGAAUUAUGAUAUACCGAUCGAUCCCAAUAAACGAUUCCUUUAGUUGUGGCAAA